rnacentral:tRNA from 1 species
GGUGGCUCAAUGGUAGAGUGUUUGCCUUGCAUGCAUGAGGUCCUGGGCUCAAUCCUCAGUACCA